CCAAUCCCCGAACACCUCGUCCCUCCAUGCCCCGAACCCUCGACCUACCUAUCCCAGGCUCUCAGCCUCCCUCCCUGCGCCGCCGCUAGCACCUCCAUCCCUAGCUGGCCGCCAUCACACCCCCAGCAGCCAUGUACAGCGGGGCGGCCCAAGGAAAGGAGCUCCCCUCCCCGACCCGAUCUGAUGGAGAGAACGCCAGGCCUUGCCACUCCGGUUGUCGCUGUGGCCAGAUCCGAUCGUGGGAGCCGCCGUAGAGCCUCCAUGUCGGCGGAGCAGAGCAGUCCGACAGUGGUGGGUGCCCGAUCUCGUCCAGCAAGUCGCCGUUGGUUGCCACGACCACCUCAUUCCCUGUCGCCCCUCUCCUUCAACCAUGGUGGCGCUCCUCCCCGCAUUGCCGUCGUUGGUGGAGCUCGCCUCACCCUCCUCACCCCGUCAGCUGCAACCGCUCCUUACCUCCACGGUGCUCCCCUUCUACAUCCAAUGCAGGCCAGUGAACGGCGACGACUAGGAGGCCUCUACCUCGACUCUACCGGCCGUGGUCGCCCCGCGUCUCCGCGCCCCCGCCCCUUAGCAUCGCGUCGACGCGUCGCAUCCCUCUCAACGAAGAGAGGAAGAGGUGUACGAGAGUGAGGAGAACGCUGUUCGCGGGGCCUCCAAGCAGAAAGACACAAGAGGAGAAGCGGAUGUGACGGAAAUCUCACAAUCGCAUCUCCCGUCUCUCUCAUGUCAAGUCAGGUGACGAAGACCGGCGACUGCGACCACGCUCUACCAUCGUGCAUGUCUCUCCGCCUAUCUUCCCGCCCCUCUUCGCUUGUCUAUCCUUGAAUUCAGAAUUUCGCUAUCAUUGGUGACCACUACAUCAUCAUCAUCGAUGGAGAUGCUAUUGAUGUCGAUGAACAUGGCUGUGUAAAAGGUGCAAGUCAUCAUCGAUAAAUGGGGCAAGGACAUGGAUGGUAUUCAUGUGAGGGGAACAUGCUGGAGCAAAGGAUCUGCGUCACGGUCUUAUUUCAUUGCUGAAAAUCACAAGGAUGUAGUGGGGUGUGUCUGCCAUGAACGAGGUGCACCUGGGUAUGAUCUUGCCAUGAACAUGACAGCUUAUCAAGUUUCGUCAGAGUUAUGUUUUGGUUGGCUGAUAGCUUGCAAGAUCUUCAUCUUCUACUAUCUGCUUCCUUCAGUUUGUGUAGUCUACAUAGUAGGCCAUCAUCCAGAAAGGAAGCGAUGGAUUAAAACUUGUGGGUUUAUGGCUCUUUCCUCGUGAAGAGUAUUCCGGGAAGUACGAGCUCAACUUUCAGGUUCAUCGGCUUAGGUGUCGUGCCUGCUCGGAAAGGAUGUGAUGGAGAUGGUGCACACGAACUGAUAUUUCUUAUAAGAAAGAGAAAUCAACAAGGUGCUUGGAAUUGGAAUGUUUUCAUUCUUUGAGUUUUGGUCAUUUUAAAGGAAUGAAGGGAAGGGAAGACGUGAGGAGAAAGCUCUACCUGCACAGGACACAAGAUCCGUGCCGGGAAUUCGGUUGUGCUUGUAUGUUACUGUAGAGCGACCAUUUCAGGGUGGAUGUUGAUGGUCUCAGAUUGAUUCGAUGCUGCAGCGAGGUAAAGUUGCUAUUUACUUCUCAAGUUCAGACUUGCAUAUCAAACAAACAUAACUUGGCAGCAAGGUUAACAUCUAGGAAAAAAUGUGUGUGUGUGUGUGCGCGUGCGCGUGCAUCUUGCAUGCGUCAGUGUCGAUACAUUCACAUGUUGAUAAGUAUACGAGCAUGUAGGCAAAUGAUGUCAAGACAAUUCAAGACACACAAUAUAUACUUUGGUAGAGAAAACCUUGUAUAUGUUUCAAUACAUAAUCUAAUGUGACUUUCAUGCAUUUCAAUAUCUACAAGAGGGUUAACACAAGAACCAUACAGUACCAUCUUGGAUCUUCCUGCCAUCAGAUCAAUGUUUUAAUACAUCAUUAGUGCAAACCCAUACUAGCUGAAAACACAAACAUGGAAUUAGUUUCUAGGGGACGAUGCUUUGUUUGGAUACCAAAAAGAAAAAUAGUACACAUAGAGAGACUUUCUUCGUUGCAGAGUAACAACAUAUAAGGGUGCAUCUUUUGACCAUUUAAUGAAUCAGAGUUUUAAGUAAGACUAACUCAUAACUGGAGCGUGAGAUACUAAUUGCUUUCUUUGUAGUGAAGAUGGCCUCUUUUGGGGUGAGGCACAACUAUAGUUGCACAGCUAAAGUUCCUAUGUUCAAAGGUUAUAACUCCUUGUCCUUUGUAGUUUGGAUUUUGGAAUAAUUAUCCUGGAUAGAUGCUAGAAUGGGAGAAAUACCCAACAAAACACAAAUUUAGCAAUGGACAUGCAUGUCUUUUAAUCACUUCGGCUUGCUUCUAUUGUUUGUGUUUUCAUCUGGUAUGGGCUUUGAAGCAUGCCGUCGUCAGAAAGAAUCCAUCAUUUUGUCAAAAUAUUGGAUGUAUAACUAAUUCCAUGUUUGUGUUUUCAGCUGGUAUGGGCUUGCACUAAUGAUGUAUUAAAACAUUGAUCUGAUGGCAGGAAGAUCCAAGAUGGUACUGUAUGGUUCUUGUGUUAACCCUCUUGUAGAUAUUGAAAUGCAUGAAAGUCACAUUAGAUUAUGUAUUGAAACAUAUACAAGGUUUUCUCUACCAAAGUAUAUAUUGUGUUUCUAUUGUUUGCCUGAGUAAUCUGAAUUCACCUUAUAUUGUUGAAGUUAUUGGUCUAUCAAUUAUUUAUCUGUAUUUCAUUUUGCCAAAAAAGCAAACAAACAGAAGAGCCAAACAUUGCAUGCUUCGACAGACGAAACCUGCCCACGGAGGUGGUGGCGCCGGUGGUAGGCGGCAAUGAGGCAACAACGCUUCAUGAGGCGGUCAAGUCUGUGGUCAUGAGCCGAUGCAUCCACCAACACCGCAAUCGAGUCAACUUCAGGACUCCAUUAGUGAUAGUUGGCUGUGUUAAAGGAAAAAAUUAUUAGGAUAAUAGAAACUGUUGGGAUAAUUUCUUUCUAUAGUGGAUGAAGUUAUUUCAAGUAACAUAUCUUGGUUUCUCCCUGUAGUCGUGUACUUAAGAAAAGCUCCAACACAAUGAAAUGGCAGCAAAGAAGCCCGUAUUAUGUUAGCACAAAA